UGUCAGUCCCUUGGCUUGUGAAGAACAAAGGCUUUACAAUGGCCUCCUGCUGUAUUUGCUUCAGCAUUAUGAGUUGCUUUUUGUUGAUGUGAACCCUUGUUUCUCACCAAGACAAGCAGAUGGCCUCCAGGUAAGAAAGUUACGUGAACUGAUUCAGCAAGGAAUCAAAAGUGCUUUACUGAAUUGUAAGCUACAAAUGGAAAUAACUUACUUUAUACUUAGUUUUAGUACUGACCACAGCUAGUUGCUGGUACUGUAAGUAUUCAUCAUAUGCGUAAGCUAGAGGGAAAACUGAAAUUAAAAUUCUGAUUUUUUGAAAAAAAUGCAAAUGCAAUAGUACAAGAAAAGAGUCAAGAAUAAAAUUCCAACUUGUUCCAUUUUGAAUAUCGUAAUGUAGAACUUUGUUAGAUCAAAGCCACUGAUUUUUUCCUCUACUGAAACUCUUUAUACCGUGUUGCUGUGCGUUGGUGAUUUAGGGGAGCAAAUACAGAAGGGUGAAAUCCAUUUCAUCUUUCCAUACGUUGCUGAAUCUGCCUCAGAUUCUCUCUGGGUGACAUGUUUUUCUUUGAAAGAAUGCUAGUACUUUGUUAGCCUCGUUUGUCAAAAAGCUCCUGGUUGAAGAACCUUGAUAGACUACUGUUGCUUCAGGGAGAGGGUCAAUAUAAGUUUUGUUUUCAGUUUGUGAUGUCAUGUAUCAUUUCUGCUUAAUUUGAAAUGAUUUUUUUUAGGAAAUGACUUGAGGGACAUGUAGUAGUAAGGCCUGCAGUCUCAUACUACAUCGUGAAGUUACCACGCAUCCUGGCAGGUCACGCCUAGAUGAUUGGAAGGGUAACAGAUCACGUCAAGUAUUAUUGAAUAGAUUUAAAUUGUAUGUAAUUGAAGCUCACGUUUCUAAUGUUUGUGACUCCUUUCUUUUUUGCUUCCUUCUUAAUUGUCUGCGUUAAGGAAAAGUCAGCAGACUUUUAUUGUGCUAAGUCAGUUCAUAUGCGGAGCAUGUUCUAUAUCUGCAAGGAGAAUAUUGGGACUGUCAUUCUUCUUGGAACACCUCUCUCAAAAAAAAAAAAAAAAAAUCCUGAAAAAUUCUGUAUAAUCGUAGGUACAGAGAACAGAAGGCACCAAUGCAAGGAUGUUUAUAAAAUGAUUCCAAAUCCAAAACCCUAGUCAACUCAUGUAGAUGGCACUGAAGCACACACUUCUACCUUUCAUCAUACUCUCCUAUGUCACUGCUAUCUUUGAGAAUCCCUGAAACAUGUACUCAAAUGAGUGUGCAAGACCAUCCAACUGUAUCUGCUUCUGCUCACAGUAACUAUGUAUUCUUACAGUAGCAAGAGGAAAUUGGAAAGGUAUUGAAAAAGUCAAGAGACUUGGCAUUCUAUUUCAGUGACUUUGUUUUAGAAGGAACUUCACUCCCUAUAAUUCUGCAAAAUGUCACAGUCUGUCUGGGCUUGUGGUGAUGUGGUAAAGAAUCUUGCUGAAAAAAAGUCCUUUCAAGUUCUUUAAUAAAAGCCCAGACGAUGCAUAGCCAUGAGGCACUCUCCUGCUCUGAGGUAAGCUUAUGGAAGAAAUCCCAUUCGUGGUGAGAAGCGAAUUCAGAAUUCUGUUGUUGAUCUUGUUUUUGUAAUUUCUGGCAGGAAAUCUUGUGUAUUGGAUAGGUACCCUUCAUCUCUCAUAAUAUAACAAUUGCUGAAAGUCCACUGCAUGAGAAACAUGAAAGUUAGGUUUACAAAGUAAACAUAUUCAACGUGCAUGAACUAGUUCCAGCAAAGCAAGCAAAAAGUAAAACAGCAAGCGUGGCUCAGAUCCCUUAUUGCUUCCUGGAAAUGAAGCUUGCUUUUAUUGGCUGUUUCUCUUGAAGUAACUUGAAACAAUUACACUGAUGUCUGCAUUUUCAGCUAUUUAAUUUGAGGGAUCUUUUUAUUGUUGUUGGGGUGUGCUUUUUGUAGAAGAUUGCACCAUAGAAGCUAAUUAAAUUCUGUAUCAAACCUUGCUAGUAGUGAUUUGUCAUGCUCUUUGUCAUCAUCAUUUCCAAAUCUCAUGUUCUGGAUUAAGAAAUGACUGGAUUUUUUUAUUUAUUUAUUUCGCAUCAAGUUCUAGAGUGCUUUUUCAUAUCUCAUCUCUCUACUGAAGCAUGAUAGAUCAAUCCUGUCUGAAUUAAGCAAACAGAAGCAUGACUUUUUGGAUGUGUGCAUACCACUACAUCCCAUCCUUCAGUUAAUUAGAAGAAAAGCUAGCACUCUGAGGAAAUAACUCUCAUUUCUUGUUUUCUCUUCUUCCUAUGUCCUUUUAUGUAUGCUUCUCUUCUUAUCAGCAAGGCUGCAGAGACUAUGUAGUUACUCCACUCUGCCAUAGUGGAGCCCUACCGAAUAGAGCCCUACCGCUGCAGAGCCAGCGGCUGGGAGAGGGGAGCUAAACAUUCUUCCAGUCCUUCAGAAAGACCACAGACACCUCAGAGUGGAUUUCUGAAACUGUACAAUGUGGUUUGAGUUGGUUGGCCUACUGCAGCUAAAUAUUUUAUGGAGACUUUAUCUAUUUGAAUUAUGGUUUUAUUGAGAAGGCUCUUUGUGGUUUAGGCAGUUUUGUUAGUAUGAGGUUUUUAGCGUUCUUCAAAGAGGGGAGUUAACCAAUUUCUUAAAAAAAAAAAAAAAAAAAAAAAAAAGAAAAGAAAAGAAAGAAAAAGCUUGGUGCUUCACUUUUAUUUGAAGUUGCCAUAAAAAAGGAUAUGCAGCCUUCCAAACAGACUGUCCUCAAUUCCAAGGGCAACUCAUAAUUUAAAUGAUGUUUUCCUUUGCUAAUCCCCUGAUAAUGCUUUUGAAAUUAGUUGAAACCUUUCAAAAACGAAGCAAAUAUGAUCUUAUGAUUUAGUAAACUCAAGCUUCCAGCUUAGACUAAAGCAUCUUGCCGGUGUAAUUUUUCAUGGAUAGAGUCUCAUAGUUCCGAUUCUUAUCUGUGGGUUUAGCAUUUUUUCCUAACUUUAAAUUGAUACAGAUCCUGAUUAAUUUCUUUCACAAAAGUUCUUUGCUUCACAAAGAUAACUUUUAGUUGAGUUUAGAUGUGGACGUAGCGAGUCCUGUGAGAAGCACUUGAACUGCCAAGAGAUUUGUCAGUGCUUCUGUAGGGUUUGCUGUUAUGUUAUAGAAAGGUUUCUUUAUAUUACUUCCCAUUCCUCAGAAAAAGUACUUUUCCUGACCUUUGUAAAUUCUGUAAAAGCAUGGGCUCAUUAAACAUUAAGUUCUAAGUUUGUGUUUGGGAGCUGUCCAAACCAGAAGACUGGAUUAAAAAUGCCGCACACUGGGAAUCAGAGCGGGACUUGGAUCUCCACAGAAAUUAUGGGUAAUGUAUAGUGAAAAGUUAUUUUUUUCUUCUUCUGGACAAACAGAGAAGAAUAUUUUGCUGACUGCAGGCAUAAGGAUUUGAUAAAGAGCACUGUAUUAGGCAGUUGUGACUUAAAAAGACUUACAAACUGGAGGUGGCUAGAAUAUUUGUUGCUCACUCUAGGUCUUCAGUGGCAAGGUCUUUCCAUUGAUAGGGGAAGAGCAGAGGGAAUAUGGCACGGUGGUGUAAGAUGUUACUUCUGAGCUGUGCCUAAGGUCUUCAGCAGACCUGCCUUUGUGUUAGAGGUCUGUAACUCUGAAAUGACAAAUGUGCCUGGUCUCUGUUUUUAGCAAACGACAAGGUGUGGAGUGAAUAAGACACAUUUAAUGUUUGCUCCAGCAUCGUUGGGACUUUCUCACGCCUUACUGUUUGAGUGCUGUCACACUUAAAUCCUUUCUGUGACUUAGUGGAUUUUGCCACUACCUCCCUGCUCCCUGUGACAUCUAGACAAUGUUAUUUUUAUUUUUCUUUGGCUGGUGAAAGAUGUGCUAGGAGAGAAUAGGGGCAGGAGGAGGUGUGUUCUGUAGGCUUUGAAGCACGCUCUCAGCUGUGCUUUACUUCAGGAAGUGACUUGAACACAAAGAUGGAUGCUGGUUACAUUGAAGUCCUAUCACAGAAUCACAGAAUCACAGAAUGGCCUGGGUUGGAAGGGACAUGGAUCUGCAAGGAUCAUGAAUCUGCAGCCCCCGAUGAUUCUCUAAUGCGAUGAAUAAUUCAGAAAUAGUGCUUAAGUGAUUGCACAAGCUGAUGACACUGAUCACCAUCAGCCAUUCAAUAAUGGCAUAAAGAAUGUGAGUGGGGAAGAUCUUUCUAAAACCGAUUGCUGACAGAUGCUGUUACUGAAUUGAAAAAACACUGUGAGGUGAUGCACUGUAUAGAAACAAAACAAGCAGUAGUGGAGACUCACCUGUGUUACCUCUCAGUCUGUGAAUGCCUGUUUUCAGUUUCGCUGUGAACAGAGCACCUCGAAAGCUCCUACCACAACCAGACUUGCAGACCAUAUGUUGAUUACAGAUUGAGGAGGCUUAUUCGCAAUUCACAAAGAAGAGAAUUAUCUGAUGUGUUUAGAGUGGCAGGGGGUUGUGUUGCUUAUUAAGGCCGGCUACAACACAGGGAAGAGAGUCGUAAUUAAUCUAGUGUACAUGUUUGGAUAACACAAAGUUGUACUUCCAGAGGAUCUUCCUCUGAUGUUUUUUAAAAUGUAUCACACCUAAACGUAAGACUCGAGGCUCUGAGAUCCAUCUCAAGUUUGCAGCAACGUUUUCUUCCACUUGGUGUCAGCAUUGUUCUCUCUGGCUCCUGAGCUGUAUUUGCUUUGAACAUAACCCUUUAACACGUUCUGAACGCCUAUCUUAAAAGCGCGCAUCGUGUGAAAAGUUGAGCAACUCGUGAAAGCUGCUGCUGAUGGAACACCGAGCUGGUAUGAUCAAGAUAAUCAAUAUGCUUCAAGAUAUGCUUGGAAUGAGAAACACUUCUAAGAUUCAAGACAAAGUUUCAAGUUCAAUGCUGUUUUUGAAGAGGACCAAUGCUUAAGCUUUUUGUUUACUACAGGCCUCUCUCACUUCAACUCUGAAAUAAAUGAAUACUGACAGCAAGCUUGAAAAGGAGCUGGACGCGAUCAGUGACAGACCAGUGACAGGAGGCGUUUUCUGAGAAUAAGGAUUCUGCUGGGCAGCGAGACGAGCCGUCACCGAACCGCUUCUUCUACCGGAGAACGUCGCAACGCAUCGCGUACCCUCGGCAGGAUCUCUUGCCUCACUCCGUGCAUUCGGAUGUCCCUUCUUUUCUCGUCUGAUGCCAUCCAUGGCUGUGAAAAAUAUAUCUGUAACAGCGUGCAAUAAAACCAUUCACAGUUCUACCAUCACUGGAAACAAAAAUGAGCAUAGUCCAACUGUCAGGAUUUUAAUUGAAGAACAAAACCACUACAUAAAGUGCAUUUCAUCACUGAAGUCUUUACGGAGUACCCUUGUCCUUAACUGGAGAUCACUGAAAUCUCACCGAAAGCAUUCCCACCGAUUGAUGUGACACUUGAACGUAACCCUAAGCAACACCGUACAGAACUGUUUGUAAAGCUCCGCUUCAAGUCUCACUGGCUGGCAAUUUUCUCAUGUGCAUCAUUAACCCAUUUGGGCAUUUGUCGCAUCACCACUCCCGUAUUUCCAUUGCCGCCUUCAGUCACGUUUUCUCCGUCAGGCACAAAGUUUUUACAGGCUGCAGUGAGAUCUCUCGCGGUGAGGAUCAGCCCAACCCGGCUGAGCGAAGGCUGCAGCGGAGCCUCUCGUCAGUCCGAACCGGAGCGUGAUCUCGUUCCCAUCGUGGAGAUGCAGCGGAAUGGCUUGCGUGACUCGAAUGCUGUUGUGGAUGUUCUGUUCUCUUCAGGAGAGACAGACAGGUGAGAGGUGGCAGAGUCUCACUUCCACUGAGAGAACUGGAAUGCAUUGAGCUGUGCCUAGGGAUGCAUGAAGAACCAGGGGAGUGCUGGCGUGCAAGGCUCAGGAGACAGUAAAUGUAGGUAAUGUCACUGGGGGUGUUGGUUACAGAUGAGGAAGCUGAUAAGACUUCCUGCACACAGCUAAAAGUAACCUCAAGGUUGCAGGCAUUAGUUUUCACAGUAGACUCGAAGCACCCUGCCAGUUGUUGAUAAGGCAAUGCUGUCAGGUGUAUCUCAUUCCAGGAGGCUCCUGCAGGUAUCAAAGUUUCUGACACAGGUGAAGGAGGAGCCAAUGAGGAGAGAAAUGCUGGCGGAGCUCUUACUCUGUAUUGAGGAAGGACUGACUGGGGAUGCGAAGACGGAGGGGACCUGAAGUGCAGCAGCUGUGAGAUGGUGGAGUUUGGGAUCUCAGUCAGAAGAUGCAAACCAAUAAGUAUGUUUGAAACACUGGACUUUGAGGGAGCAACUUUGUCCUCUUAAAGGAUCUGCCUGGAGGUAUCUGUUGGGUUGCAGCAUCAGAAGGGGUCCUGCUAGCGGUUCUUGACUCAUGCAUUACUGCCUCUGUGCUCAGUAGGGUGCAUGCCUGAGAGUAAGAAAUGGAGCAGGAAUGGCAGGAGACCUGCAGGAGCAAAUGAGGAGGUCACAGAUAAACUUGAAGAAGAAAAGGAAGGCUAAGGCCCCCUUAGUAUCACCUUUGUGGAGGAAGGUGAAGGCUAACAGGCAAGGUGCCCGAGGACUCAUGGAUAGGCAGCAUCACUGCAGCCUUCAGAAAGGGUGAGAAGGAGGGCCUGUGCAACUGUAGGCUGUUCAGGAUCACCUCCCUCCCUGGCACUGAAAUGGGACAGCUUGUUCUAGAUGUCAUCUCUAAGGAGCGGUCACGGUGGAUUCAGCAAGAGGAAGUGAUGAUGGACUGACCUGGUAGCUUUCUGUGUUGUUGUGACUGUCUGGUUGGAUGAGAGAAGGGCAGUGGAUGUUGCGGGGUGGAAUAUCACUUCUGUCAGUAAGUGUCUAAGUGUGGAGUUGAUGGGUGUGGGCUUGUGCAGGCACAGCUGGAAGGUGUGUGGUGGUAGAAUGGGGGUAAUAUUCACAGGCUGGAAGACUGGUGGUUCUAUAGAAACAGAAGGAAGAUGGGUUUCACUGUGAGGGUGAUGGAAUAGGCUGUGGGGUCCCCUUCCCUGGGGAUUUAAGUUGCACCUGGCUGUUUUUGUGGGUGAUAUGCUAUGUAGGGAGGCUGCAUGAUCUGUUCACAGGGUGAGCGCCACAGUGGAGCAUUGAGGAUCAGCCUGAGGAAGGAUGUGAGCUGUCUGACCUGCCUACCUGGUGGCCCUUCAAGAAUGUGUUUGAGUUCUUCCUGCAGGUUCAGGGUGUGUGUCCUAUUGAUGUGACUGCAGGGGCUCUGUGGAGUGAGGUGAGCUGUGCUGUCUCAGGGCUGGGACUGGGUGUUGGUGUGUUUUGGUUUUAUUCCUGAAGGUGUGUGGCAGGCCCACUGGUGGAGGGAGGAGUGAGCAGUGGUGCUGGAGUUGUUUCAGUCUUCCAGGGCUGUUGUCUUCCCUUGGAUUGCGGUGCAGCUGGUGUGCCAGGAGGAAGGUCCCCAUCCUGGGUGCUGCAGAACUGUCAGGAGUAGCUCCUGUGUGGUGACUGCUCUGUGCUGGUGCUUCUGGUCCUGAAGGUGGGAGGAGUGAGGAGGAGCUGGGUUCUGUGUUCCUGCUGAAGGAGAAAAUUCAUUUCAUUUCAAACCUCAGUGUUUGCCCCCAAAAUACUGGUGACUAACCUUACUUCUGUGGAGCGGAAAGUGGGUGAAGAUGCAUCCCUUUUGUAGAAGAAUGAGUGGCUUGUGAUGGCUUUCCGGGAAGACUGUAUCUGCUGCAGGUAACCUGAGCUACUGCUUCACUGCACAACCCUUUGGAUUGAAUUGUGAAUCAGAAAGCAUACUGGAUCAGAAGGGACUUGCAACUCUGGGAGACUGCCCGGACUUCAACUGCUAUGGCUGGGAGCAGCGUCCAAAUGCUUUGUGAACUGUCAGCCAUGGGGUGUGACUGCUGUCUCAGAGAAGCCUGUUUUGCUAUCUCACCCCUCUUUCUGACAAGUUUUUCUUCAUCUGCAACCUCUACCUUCUCUGACCUCUACAGCCUCCUUUCAGCUUAAAAAGAGAGGGAAUUUGAGCCUUCCUUGGAUGCUCCCUGAGAGCUCUUAUUUUAUAUUAGAGGUUGCAGAGCUGCACACUAUGCUCACGGUGAGGCUUUACCUCCCUGGAGCAGUGUGGGAUGAUCCCUUCCUUUGUUCAGCCGGUUGUGCUGGGCCUGAGGUGCCCCAGGGUGUGGUCAGCCUUCUAAAUGACCAGGCAUGCUGCUGACUUGAAUUUAACUUGCUGUCAACUGUGGCACCCAGAUUCCUUUCCCUGGGGCAGCUCUCUGACCUCAUUCCCCCUGUUCUGUAUGGGUAGCUGGGGUUGGCCUGUCUCACAUACAGAAUCAGGUGCUGGCUACUGACAAAAUUCACACAGUUGGUGACUGUAGGGCCUGCUACUGUCUAGAGUUUGCUCUGGAGAGCCUGUUUACCCCUGAGGAGUCCCCAGCUCCUCCUAAUUUAGUGUCAUCAGCAAAAAUACUUAAUAUGCAUUUGACUCCUGUGUCCUGAUCAUUUAUAGAAAUACCAAAGGGAACUGCCCCUGCCAAGAAGCCCCUGGAAUUUGACUGGAACCCGGUUGCCAGCCUCACAUAAUCUCAUUUAAUUCUAACAGAAUUAGAUUUAGAUUUAAUUAGAUUUAGAUCUAAAUUUAACAAAUACUUGGAGCUGCUUUUGUGUAGGGGACUGAGUCACUGCUUGCUCUUUGUUUGUCUUAAGAGGUAUACUUAGGAAGGGCUGUUUUCUGACACAGCAUUUAGUUUCUGGAUCCCCUUACCUGACAAGAAUUUUCCUUACCUACUCAAAGAGAUAAUACACACUUGGAAUUACACCACAGGCAAAGAUGUCUUGUUUUUGAACAGAGGGAGUUAAUAAAUGCAUCCCUCUAAUAGAGGAAUGGAAUAAGAUCUGUCUUAUAGCAUUAAUAAAUUCAUAGCUACGGAAUAAAGUUGGAUAUUUUCAACCA